AACGCACAUUGCGCCCAUUAGUAUUCUAGUGGGCAUGCCUGUUCGAGCGUCAUUACAACCCUCAAGCGCUGUAGUGCUUGGUGUUGGGGCAUCUGCUGCCUGUAGCAGGCCCUGAAAGAUAGUGGCGAGGUCGCUGUGACCCUGAGCGUAGUAAUUACACCUCGCUUCUGUGGUUCGCAGCGGGUUCUCAGCCGUGAAACCCCCAAUUUUCACAAGGUUGACCUCGGAUCAGGUAGGAAUACCCGCUGAACUUAA
rnacentral:misc_RNA from 1 species